rnacentral:lncRNA from 1 species
AACAGCCACAAGAAGACAUAUGGGCCUUACGGAAACAAAACUCAAAACUACUUUUCAGCUGACGCACCCAAAGAUAGCCAAAUCGCUGGGUUUCUAGGAACCAGCGGCAAUGCUCUCAGCUCCCUCGACGUUCACUUUGCUCCCAUUCCUACCCCUGGUAGCAUCAAACCACAACCUGGUGGUUCUGGAAAUGAAUCUGGUGGUGGCGGCGGUGGUUCAAACCCUGGUGGUUCUGGAAAUGAAUCUGGUGGCGGCGGUGGUUCUGGAAAUGAAACCGGUAAAGAUGGACCAGGAAAGAUGGGACCGCUUGGUGGUGAUAAGGGAAAUAUAUUCGACGAUGUUGGUUUCGAAGGUGUGAAGAAAAUAACCGUCGGAGCAGAUCAGUA